AUGAGCCAACUCCAUGUUCAUUUAAAAAAUAUAGGCUGCAUUGGUGGCUCAUUGCAUACAAUAUUAGAGCAGGCAGACUCUAUGUGUUAUGCAGUAUGGGGUGGCAAAAAAGUGAAGUUGCAUCCAGUAUACGAAGAUAUUUUCAGCAUGUGAGGCAAGAGCAAAGAUGGCCAGAAGUCAUUGCUCAAAUUUCCCAACCUAUAUAUGCCGACGUGAUACAACAAGCAAAUGGUUAUGACUGUGGCAUAUUCGUGACAGAAUUUGCGAGAAGAAUAACAGAGGGGGUAAAGUUGAGAAAAGAUAUCAUGAUUCUUAAUCACUUUGUUUACUCUGUUCAUAUAAAGAUAGUGUUGUUUUUGAUAGGGAGAAAUUGGUCCUGGAUACUGUCGAUAUCCAUGUAAAUAGUAAAAGACCAUACCUUAAAAAACUGAUUCGAAGCUUUGCCAUUUAGCGAAGCAAUUUGUAAUGAAGCAGAAUUUAAGUUUAAAGCUGGUGCGUAUAAAUAACAUUCUUAUAUUUAUAACAAGUGAUGUAAAUAAUUUUUUUACAAGUAACGACGUUACAUAUAAUUGUUACUUUUGCAGAAACUAUAUGGGUAACUAUGAAGUAAUAUUUUGUACAGAUAAAACUAUUCAUAAAAACAAGUUUAAAUUUUUCGAAAACGAAACUAUAACGCGUUACUAAUGAAUAACGCGACUAAGAGUGAGAAAAUAGUCUUUGUAGGCUAUUUCUCUCUCAGGAUUGUAUUUAACAAUGCGUAACAUAUUCCUGUGCCAAAUAUGGAGUUUUGUGAAAAGAAAAAAGUUAUCGUAUUCCAUGUAAGAAACCAUGGAGGCAAGAGGCUUAA